rnacentral:rRNA from 1 species
CGAGUGAAGAGGGAAAAGCUCAAAUUUUGAAUCUGAUGCCUUUGGUAUCCGAAUUGUAAUCUAGAGAAGUGUUUUCCGUGAUGGACCGUGCACAAGUCUCCUGGAAUGGAGCGUCAUAGAGGGUGAGAAUCCCGUAUAUGGCACGGACUCCCAUUGCUCUACGAUACACUCUCGACGAGUCGAGUUGUUUGGGAAUGCAGCUCUAAAUGGGUGGUAAAUGCCAUCUAAAGCUAAAUAUUGGCGAGAGACCGAUAGCGAACAAGUACCGUGAGGGAAAGAUGAAAAGCACUUUGGAAAGAGAGUGAAACAGUACGUGAAAUUGUUGAAAGGGAAACGCUUGAAGUCAGUCGCACCGUUCAGGAUUCAGCCUUGCUUCUGCUUGGUUUACUUCCUGUUCAGUGGGUCAACAUCAGUUUCGAUCGGAGGAGAAAGACUUGAGGAAGGUAGCAGCAUUCGUGCUGUGUUAUAGCCUCUUGUUGUAUACUUCGAUUGGGACUGAGGACUGCAGCACGCCUAUGGCCGGGGUUCGCCCACGUACGUGCUUAGGAUGUUGGCA